rnacentral:SRP_RNA from 1 species
ACCGGGAACUGUGGCGUGUUCUUGUAAUCCAGCUGCUUUGGAGGUCGAGGCUGUUGGACGGCUUGAGGUUGGGAGUUCUAUCCUUAGUUGCUCUAUGUCGAUCCGGCGUCCGCGCUAAGCACUGUGUCGAUAUGGUGGAACUGGGGGAGCCUGGAUCCACCAGGUCGCUUGAUGAGGAAUGAACCAGCCCAGGGCGGAAACGCAGCAGGCGAAAGUUCCCGCAUAGUGCAGUAGUGGGAUAGCGCCAGUGAAUAGGUGGUUAUGGAUAGCCCAUUCAAAAUAGUCGAACUCAGCCUUUU